rnacentral:rRNA from 1 species
CCAAUAGCGUAUAUUAAAGUUGUUGCAGUUAAAAAGCUCGUAGUUGAACUUCGGGGUUUACCCAUUGGUCAGGCUUAAUUGUCUGUACUGGUGAGAUAACUCUCUACCUUCUGAGGAACUUUCAUGCCAUUUAUUUGGUGUGAUUGGAAAUCAGGACUAUUACUUUGAAAAAAUUAGAGUGUUUAAAGCAGGCUAACGUCUGAAUAUAUUAGCAUGGACUAAUGAAAUAGUACGGCUUGGUUCUAUUUCGUUGGUUUCUAGGAUCACCGUAAUGAUUAAUAGGGAUAGUUGGGGGCAUUAGUAUUCAAUUGUCAUAGGUGAAAUUCUUGGAUUUAUUGAAGACUAACUACUGCGAAAGCAUUUGCCAAGGAUGUUUUCAUUAAUCAAGAACGAAAGUUAGGGGAUCGAAGACGAUCAGAUACCGUCGUAGUCUUAACCAUAAACUAUGCCGACUAGGGAUCGGACGAAGUUAAUUUUAUAAUGACGCGUUCGGCACCUUACG